CUUAGGCACGGGACGGAAGCCUGCAGUCUGUCUGCAGCUGCGGCCCCAGAGAGGUGGUAACUUGCAGGUAGCAGGUGAACGGUGUCCCUUCUAUGCCCAGAAGCCUCAAGUGGAUCCCCCAGAAUCACAAGCUGUUUCAGCGACAGAGACAAGAUGGGAAUGCUGGAGGCCGGGAGAGAAGUGCCAGGGGUCCGUCCUGCGACACCUCCCUAACCUUGCCGUGCACUGGCCUUCCUCACUGGCCUGUUUGCGGUGAAUGAAGGAAGCUGCCCCCCCAGCACAGAAAUGCAUGGAGAACGUGGCAUGGCAACGCGGUCCCGUUCUUCCCAGGUGCUCUGUGUUUCACCAGGAGGCCGGGGCAAGCUAGAUGUGAGAAGGGAAGCAGCCUGCAGCAAGGCUCAGGUGGUGUCUGCACGGCCUGACAUCAAACCUACAGGAAAUUCCCCAGGACGAGCAGGAAGAAAGCCGGGUGGGCAUGGGGAGCAGAACCCCUGGACCAGAGCGGUCCCCGCCGCCCGCGGGGAGCAGGAGGGGCUGCCUGCCCUGUUUCCAGACGAGAGCUCCCUGGCAGCCCUGAGCAGCCUCUGCCUGACCGGCUCCCCCAGGCUCCUAUAAAGGAAACAAAUUAAAGGAGGAAAAGGGAGGGGCAAGGAGGGAGGCUCCCUCUGGAUCUUUUUUUAAUUGUCUUGCUGUGAUUGCCUAUUUAAGCCCACCUGGCAGA